UACGUAGGCAGCGAGCGUUGUUCGGAGUUACUGGGCGUAAAGAGUGCGUAGGCGGUGUUCCAAGUCUGUUGUGAAAUCUCCCGGCUUAACUGGGAGGGUGCGGCGGAAACUGGAAUGCUGGAGUGUGGGAGAGGUAAGCGGAAUUCCCGGUGUAGAGGUGAAAUUCGUAGAUAUCGGGAGGAACACCAGUGGCGAAGGCGGCGAUCUGGGGAAGAUACUGACGCUGAGGUGCGAAAGCGUGGGGAGCAAACAGG
rnacentral:rRNA from 1 species